UAAACUUUGAACACCGAAACCCAUAGCGCCAAGAACAAAAGCUAAACUGGUUUGGAAUCGUUGUGGGAAUUAACCAAGGUUGACGCUACCUGAAAAUCAGUUAGUUAGAGUAGAAGGGGCGAGGCCGUAUUGUUCCUCGGAGCAAAGUCUCGCGAUUCUUCCAUUCCGGAAGUGACGUGUGUGAAUAUUCCCCAAGUUUGAAGUGGAAUCAUUAUUUGGUAAUCUGUCAAUGGCGUAUAGAGGGCGUGGACGUGGUGGAUUUGGAGGAGGUGGCGGCGGUUUUGGCUAUGCCAUUCAAGUUCCCUUUGAGGUUUUUCCUGAUGUUGAUUUGCCUAAUGUCAAAGGUAUAUUUGAUCCAGAGAAGAAGGUAAACAAGGGUCUGAGUGAGGAAGAAAACUAAGUCAAUCAAAGUCUCAAGUUUCAAAAAAUUUGGAAAGGCUCUCUUUUCUAUCUGGAGCAGACCACUGCAAGGGGCUAGCAUGAUCUACUUUAAAACUCGUUGUUUAUGUUUUUUUUUCUAUCAUUCAGUCAUGGGAUUGAGCAAUCUGUGAAGCAUGUUUGAUUUGAUUUUCCCUUCCUUUUCUGGCUAAGAUAUUAAUCAUGGUCGGUUGUGGAGAGCAUUCAUUCUUUUGGUAUGCUUGAAAUCAUGUUUGUUUGUUUUUUUUAUAAGAAGACUAUCAACCUUGUAGUGAUGCUUCUAUGCUGUCUGCAGGUAAAGUUCUGUUGUGAAAGUAAAUAUGAUUCAUAUAUGUUGAUCCCUUUAAUAUUUUUACGGUUGAAGAUAAAAGUACAUUUUUACUGUGAAUCUGAAAUUGAUCUCACCAAGAUUUUAUAGUUAGAUGUAAGGAGAAGUUCAAACAUCCCUCCCAAAACCAACACCCAAUCUUAUGUUUGUGAACAUUAUGCAAAGUGGCAAACUAUCAUAAAAAGUUCGAUAUGAGUUUCUAAGGUGAAUUGUUCUAUAGUUUUUUCUGUCAGUUAAUUAUAUUAUAUUAUAUUGGUCCAUACUGGCAUUUUAUUUUAAUACCAUAUUGCUUUUAUUCUCCUUGUAAAUCAUUUAUUUGGCUUCUUUUGAAUUUAUACCAGAUUAUGUUGUGAUAGUAUUACACUUCUUGAACUUGUGGUUUCAGAGAGGCAAAACAUAGAAGUGGAAAGAUAUUCUGACAGGUUGAAGCCAAAAACCACCAUAAGAAGCGGUGCUCUUUUUGUUAUGUUGGAGCUCAAGGGAUUUCCCCAAGAACUGACUGGAGGUUCAAGGGCACAGCAACCAGGCCGAAAGAGAGUUCGAUGGAAUCCUGACUCAGUGUAAUAAUGAUGGAAAAGAAAAGAAAGAAGGGGAAGGUAAGGAUGAAGAUGAAUAAGAAGAGGAGGAGGAGGCAGAAGAAGACUUCAGUGAUGAUGAUUAUCAAAAGAACCAAGAUUUCGAUGACGAUGAUGAUGAUUUUAAUAUGGAAGAUGAUGGUGAUGAUGAACCUCUUUUGUAGUGAGACAGUGUUGCAUACGAGGCUGCUUAAAACAUCCACAAACCUCCCUCAUUUCUCUUCCACCAAAUGGAGUAUCCAGCUAUUGUUUGUUUUCUUGUAGGCCUGUACAUUCAAUUACUAGUUAUUUGUUACAAAGCUCUUGCUCUUCCAGGAAAAGAUUUCGGUCUAAUAUGACCAUGAUUACAAAUAGAAAGUAGGUUAUGUGGAAUCAAAAUGUGUAGGUUAGGCAAUGGAUUCGAUUCCCCGUCUUUUUGGUUUUUAAUAUUAGUAAUUAGGGCUUGUACUUUUUUUAAGCUUGCAAUCAACCCUAAUCUGUUAAAUGUGUUAAUCUUUCUUUGUUGCUCUCA